AGCCGAGCGGUAGAGAUUCUUCGGAAUCUUGAGAGCGGCGCACGGGUGCGGAACACGUGUGCAACCUACCUUUAUCAGGGGGAUAGCCUUUCGAAAGGAAGAUUAAUACCCCAUAAUAUAUUGAAUGGCAUCAUUCGAUAUUGAAAACUCCGGUGGAUAGAGAUGGGCACGCGCAAGAUUAGAUAGUUGGUGAGGUAACGGCUCACCAAGUCAAUGAUCUUUAGGGGGCCUGAGAGGGUGAUCCCCCACACUGGUACUGAGACACGGACCAGACUCCUACGGGAGGCAGCAGUGAGGAAUAUUGGACAAUGGGUGAGAGCCUGAUCCAGCCAUCCCGCGUGAAGGACGACGGCCCUAUGGGUUGUAAACUUCUUUUGUAUAGGGAUAAACCUUUCCACGUGUGGAAAGCUGAAGGUACUAUACGAAUAAGCACCGGCUAACUCCGUGCCAGCAGCCGCGGUAAUACGGAGGGUGCAAGCGUUAUCCGGAUUUAUUGGGUUUAAAGGGUCCGUAGGCGGACUCGUAAGUCAGUGGUGAAAUCUCAUAGCUUAACUAUGAAACUGCCAUUGAUACUGCGGGUCUUGAGUAAGGUAGAGGUAGCUGGAAUAAUAAUUGUAGCGGUGAAAUGCAUAGAUAUUACUUAGAACACCAAUUGCGAAGGCAGGUUACCAUGUCUUAACUGACGCUGAUGG
rnacentral:rRNA from 1 species